ACUCCUACGGGAGGCAGCAGUGGGGAAUAUUGCACAAUGGGCGCAAGCCUGAUGCAGCCAUGCCGCGUGUAUGAAGAAGGCCUUCGGGUUGUAAAGUACUUUCAGCAGUGAGGAAGGUUCAUGCGUUAAUAGCGUAUGGAUUUGACGUUAGCUGCAGAAGAAGCACCGGCUAACUCCGUGCCAGCAGCCGCGGUAAUACGGAGGGUGCGAGCGUUAAUCGGAAUUACUGGGCGUAAAGCGCAUGCAGGUGGUUUGUUAAGUCAGAUGUGAAAGCCCGGGGCUCAACCUCGGAAUUGCAUUUGAAACUGGCAGACUAGAGUACUGUAGAGGGGGGUAGAAUUUCAGGUGUAGCGGUGAAAUGCGUAGAGAUCUGAAGGAAUACCGGUGGCGAAGGCGGCCCCCUGGACAGAUACUGACACUCAGAUGCGAAAGCGUGGGGAGCAAACAGGAUUAGAUACCCUGGUAGGAUAGCG
rnacentral:rRNA from 1 species